GAAGGAAAGAAAUGGUUCCGCGUCUAGACACCACUCCUGGGCUACCCUCUCACUCCUGAACAGAAGGGAACCCUGACAGCGCGUCUGGGAACAUCUAGUACUUCCUAGGAACGGGCACUGAGGCUGAUUCCCUGUCCUGACUACUGAACUUGCUCACAAGAGCUAGAACCCUUUGACAACCUUUCCUGAGCAAAAGAUGAGCCUACGGGACUGAUAUCACACCUCUGAGCAUCUAUCCUCUGUCCCUCCAAAGGACUACCAGUCUGAUCCAUCCUGCGUUACUGCACUCUCCUACCUUGUCUCUGUGGACACAGGUAGUACUCUGAGUAGGUAGCCAAUCCGCCCUAGAAUGACAGCACACAGUCAAAUCUAGAACCAUAAGGUCAGCUGGAUCGCAUCUACUCACCCCAAUCUCUGAACUGCACUGACUCUGUCUCAGAUGGAUCACACUUAGGGCCACUGACCCAAGAAAAACACUCUAAGCCCAGACGUCAUCAAAUCCCCUCUAUCAAUGGCUCACUACGCAACAAGGAAAGCGAAACACUGGGGUUUACACAAACUGUAUACACAUCCGAGCACUUCUAAGUGAACGUAUCUCACGUCACGUGCUCAAUGUGUUAGCCUGUACUAUGUCAAGGUGAAGAUCC
rnacentral:lncRNA from 1 species